UUCUUAAAAAUAAAAGAAUUUGGCGGUAUUUUAGUCUAUUCAGAGGAACCUGUCCUAUAAUUGAUAUUCCACGAUAAAAAUUACUUAUUUUUAAGUUUGUAUAUCGCCGUAGGUUGAAUGUUUUUAAAGAAAAAUAAUAUUCAAUAAUUUAAUAAUAAAAAAAAAUCAGGUCAAGAUAUAGCAAUAAAUAAGAAGAGAUGGGUUACAAUAAAUGUAUUUAGUUGGUUUAAUUAAGGAAGAUAUUAAUUAAUAAAUUGGAUUUGAUAGUAAUUUUAAUAAUUUUAUUAAAAUGAUUUUAGCUCUAAAAUAUGUACAUAUCGCCCGUCACUUUCACUUUAAAGUGGAAUAAGUCGUAACAAAGUAGGUGUACUGGAAAGUGUGCCUAGAAAGGCAAGUUAAAGCUAAGUAUAGUUUUUUAUUUACAUUAAAAAGAUUUAUUGUUUAAUUCAAUAUAAUUUGAUUUAAGUAAAUUAUUUAUGUGUAUAUAUAUAUAUAUAUAUAUAUUAAUUUUUUAAGGAUUUAAAAUAAAUAUAUUAAAGUUUUAGUAUAGUUAUAGAAAAAAUUUAUUAUUAUUAUAGUGAAUUAGUAUUGUAAAAGAAUUUAAGUUUAAAAUUUAAUAAGAAGAAUUAAUUUUUUGUACCUUGUGUAUCAGGGUUUAUUAAUUAAAAUUUUUAUAUAAAAAUUUUCUCGAAUUUAAAAGAGCUAAUUAAAUAUAUUUUUUAUUGUAGCAUAAAUAUUAAAAAUAUUUAAUUAGAAGUGAAAAGUUAUUCGUUUUUAAAUAUAUCUAGUUUUUUAAGAAAUAAAUUAAAUUUAUUUAUUAUAAAUAAAUAUUUAAAUAUUUAAUAAAUUAUUAAUAAUAAUUUAUAUUUUAAGGGUUAAGCUUUAAAAUAGAAAUUUUAAAAGUUAAAGAUAAUGAGUUAAAAAGUAGGAUUAGAAGUUUUUAUCUUUUAAAGUAUGUUAUAAUUUAUUAAUCAAAAUAUAUUAUUUUUAUUUACUUUAAAUUUUUUAUUAAAAUUAUAAUUAUAAUUAUAUUAAUUAGGUAAUAAUGAUAAAAUUAGUAUAAAUUUUUUGUUUAAAUUUAUUUUUAAUGAUAGGUUAAAUAAAGGAAUUCGGCAAAUAAGUUUUUCACCUGUUUAUUAAAAACAUGGCCUUUUGAUUAUAAUUUAAGGUCUGACCUGCCCAAUGAAUAAUUAAAUGGCCGCAGUAUAUUGACUGUGCAAAGGUAGCAUAAUCAUUAGUUUUUUAAUUAAAAGCUUGAAUGAAAGGUUUGAUGAAAAAACAUCUGUCUCUAUUUAAAUUUUUUUAGAAUUUUAUUUUUAAGUAAAAAAGCUUAAAUUAAAUUAAAAGACGAGAAGACCCUAUAGAGUUUAAUAAUUUUAUUUAUUAAAAAGUUAUAGAAUUAUU
rnacentral:rRNA from 1 species